UUUAGAUCUCUGGUGGGCCACUGCAAUUUUGUCAUAGAGCAUAUCUCCAUCUGAUGACAUCUUGAAAGAUUCAAAAAAUGCGAAAUCUAAGAAACUAAAACAUGUAUUAAGGCCCCAAACAAUUUUUUAUGGAGCACCUUGUUCAAAUGAUGAUGCAUGGGUGAUUUGGAGAGUGGGUUUAGAACGACUCUAUCCUCACUUACUUGCAUCCAUUCCAAUUAGUAACACAUAGCUAACCGCAACAGGCACUGGAAAAACCAAUGUAAAGAGGUCACCGCUAGAUGCAAACCGUUUUUCACGAUCUCUCUCCCACACGCACACACACACGGAACCCCUACUUUAUUCUACUACCAACUCUUGCAUUCAAAAGAGUGAUGAGUCUUGCUACGCGCCUCUCGGUACGUUCGUCAACUUCUUCGGCAUGCUGCAAAAAGACAUACGUACUACACAAGAUAACUGAGACCGAUGCGGUGAGUGAUGCUCAUCAGGUAUCCUGCAACAACAAACAGCAAAAUAUCGCACUAAUAAGCAAGCAAGCAAGCAAGCAAAUUCCUUGUAGUUUGUUUUUUUUCCCUAAAAGAAGAAGAUCAGGUCCAGGUACUACAUGCUGCUCUUAUAUCGAUCAGAUUACUCAAGGAUUGCGCUAUGCAGAUUACUGCAGGAAAAUUAUUUCCAGUGGAUGGAAUAUGCUGCAAGUGCAAGGUUGCAAGCUGUUCAAUCACCAUCCUAUAUACACUAA
rnacentral:misc_RNA from 1 species